ACAUUUACUAGCGCCAGGGGACUACGAGCCUCAGCUUAAAACCCAAAGGACUUGACGGUGACCCACCCGACUAGAGGAGCCUGUUCUACAACCGAUGAUCCCCGUUACACCCAACCCCCCCUUGCUUUAUCAGCCUGUAUACCUCCGUCGUAAACUCACCAUAUGAAUGCCUUCCAAGUGGGUUCAAUGUUUUAUUACACCAGUACGUCAGGUCAAGGUGCAGCCCAUGGUGAGGUAAGCAAUGGGCUACAAUUUCUAUAUUAGAACAAACGAAAUACUGCAUGAAAUACAGUCAUGAAGGAGGAUCUAGUAGUAAGGAGAAAAUAGCGAGUUCUUUUUAAUGCGGCCCUGGGACA
rnacentral:rRNA from 1 species